rnacentral:rRNA from 1 species
CGCCUUGCCAGCCCGCUCAGAAACUUAAAGGAAUUGACGGGGCCCGCACAAGCGUGGGAGUAUGUGGUUUAAUUCGAUGCAACGCGAAGAACCUUACCUGGUCUUGACAUCCCAGAAAUCCCUUGGAAACUUGGGAGUGCUUCCAUUAGGAAGAAUCUGGAGACAGGUGCUGCAUGGCUGUCGUCAGCUCGUGUCGUGAGAUGUUGGGUUAAGUCCCGCAACGAGCGCAACCCUUGCCUUUAGUUGCCAGCAGUUCGGCUGGGCACUCUAAAGGGACUGCCGGUGUUAAACCGGAGGAAGGUGGGGAUGACGUCAAGUCCUCAUGGCCUUUAUGACCAGGGCUACACACGUACUACAAUGGCCGAUACAAAGGGCAGCGACACUGCGAGGUGAAGCCAAUCCCGUAAAAUCGGUCUCAGUCCGGAUUGGAGUCUGCAACUCGACUCCAUGAAGUUGGAAUCGCUAGUAAUCGUGAAUCAGAAUGUCACGGUGAAUACGUUCCCGGGCCUU